AUAAAAUAAGAUGUGCCUGUACUUACUUGCUAAUGGACCUAUUACCAUACUGGCAUCUUAUAAAAAAAAUUACAAGGAAGGAGAUUAUAUCCAGGGAUUCUUUUUGUUUUCAAGGCAAAGGUUACCAAGUUACAAUGGACCAAAGUAGCUGGAAUGCAAAGGAGUAUAAUCCUUGUCUUUGAAAAAAGAGCAUUUGUUUCAAUCAUAUGGCAUAUCAAAGUAAACUUUCUCCCUUCCUCCCUCCUUUCGUUGCUGCUGCUUCUUUUUUUUCUCUUUUUUUUUUUCUUUUUUUGGAGAGGGUCUCACUCUGUCACCCAGGCUGCAGUGCAGUAGUGCAAUCUUGGCUCACUGCAAACUCAGCUUCCCUCAAACAAUCCUCCCACCUCAGCAUCCCAAGUUAGCUGGGACCACAGCCAUGCUCCACCAUGCCCAGCCAUCCUUGCUUCUUUACUACAUUUCUUUUUUCAACAAAUAUUUAUCAAGUAAUAUUGUCAAGUAAUAUUUAUGAGCUUCCCCUCAGAUAGGCAUUUAGCAUCAUGAUGGCACCAUCCUCUAACAAUAAUGGGAAGGCUAUUUUCCACUGUUAUUAAUCAUUAAUUCUCCAAAUCAUUUUAGUAUUAUUAUUAAUUCUAAUAAGUACAGAGAUUAAUAAAUGCAUUCAAACCACAUGUGAAUAUUUGCUAUAGGUUUAUCUGUGCCUACUGUAUGUUCAGAUUUUUCUUUAUAUCUGAACUUUGUUAUAAAUAAAUGACAGUAAAAAUGGAAUUUAUAGUUCAAUGAACUUGACAAAUCACUUAUUCUGCCAUUCAUUUUCCAUAAAGACCAUUCAUUCUUCCUUGUUUUACAGGUAACUGAGCUCCAGAAAGCUCAAGUGACUUUAGAACUCAGUUCUUAGUGUGUGAAUUAUGCUCCCAUCUCAUCCCUCUUCCUUGAUGGAGCACUUUCCUCCUCAUUUUUUCUUGGAUAGUCUGUACAAGCUGCCUGAGGUGUGCAGGAAAGUGAGCCACGUCGAAGUGUACUGCUUUUAAAUUUUUGCCAGGAUGAAGCAUAGCCCAAAGUUGCCAAUAAAAAUGGAUUUCUUUACCUUUCUGAAAUUGUGUGAUGACAAUUUCUAAGUAAAGGACCCAAAUCAUGUCAACUUCAGGAAAUAUAAUAAUGAGGGAGCCAGGAGCAGUGAGGGGCUCACACCUGUAAUCCCAGCACUUUGGGAGGCCAAGGUGAGCGGGUCGCUUGAGCCCAGGACUUCGAGACCAGCCUGGGCAACACGGCAAAACCCUGUCUCUACAAAAAAAUACAAAAAAUUAGCUGGGUAAGGUGGUGUGUGUCUGUGGUCCCAGCUAUUCAGGAGGCUGAAGUGAGAGAAUCGCUUGAGCCUAGGAGGUCGAGGCUUCAGUGUGCCGUGAUCGUGCCACAGCACUCCAUCAUCAUCAUCCUGGGUGACAAAGUGAGACCCUGUCUCCCCACCAAAAAAAAGAGGGAGUUUCAUCUCCCAAGAAAAUGAAUUAGAUAGGAAUAAUAGAAAAUUUACUCUCAGAAUAAUAGGGUUCUAGCUCCUGCAACCAAAAAAAGAUAGUUCUUUUUUACAACCUGAGAUUACUUUUUCAAGCAUUUCUCCAGUUCCACUGGCAUUGAAAUAAUAGUUAGCAAUGCAUCUGAGCUUUUCUUCCUCUAAUGAGCAGGCAGAGAAGUCAUAGAUCAUCAUUUGGAGGACUAUAAAAUAAGACAUAGCUUAGCAAAAGGACCAAAAUACAUUCAGAGGAGGAUGCUAUUGGUGAAUGUCCUCAAAGCCUAUAAUCUGGAAAAAUACAAGGCAUAUCUCUGAAACUGUGAGGAUUAGCAAACUAGCUAACCUGAAUCUCUGUCUUCUGGUAGUAUAAACUAGGUAGUUUCAAAUCUGAGUAGUUUCUCCAUAAAAGCAUUUCUUCCCAAACGUUUCUUACCAAACUCCCAAAUAAAUGAGAAAAAUAAAAUACAGUUUUAUAAUUUUUGAGAAAGAUUAUGGGAUUAUGGUAUUUAAAAAGAAAAGCAUUCUGUAGAGUUGGGGAAAUCUGGAAGACUCUUGAGGACAUAGCUUUGCCGAAAUUGCUGGUUGUCACAAGACUCUUCAAAAACUACUUUUCAUCAGACAUCUCCCAGGGCUCUGAGGUGAAUAUUAAUUCAGCAGAAAGAUCCUUUUCUGCUACAUAGGCAGGAGGUCCAGACACAGGGGAGUGGGUGCAACCCAGCUGGUCCCAUUUUCUGUAAUAUAAUUAACAAUGAAGCUCAUACUUUCUCAACUUCUAGAAGCCUGGAGGAUGGAAGCAGCCCGAGAGUAGGGUGAAUGAUGGCCUCAGUGGGCCCUUCUUAAUGUGUCUCAGUACUGAAUGUGUGGAGAUUGUAGAAAAAUAGAAGGCCCUUGGAAAAAACCUCUGUUCGUUUCUCUGUUCGUUUCGCUCCCUGAUCUCCCUGCCGGAUUGCUUUUCUUUCCUUUCUCUUCCUUGGCUGUCCUUUACCUCAUGGUGUGGGGUGUGCAGAUAGCAGGUUGUGGCUUGGUGAGUGCUCUUCACUUCAGGUCAAGGUGAGGCACAGUUAACAUGCUAACUACUUUCCUCAGUUCUCUCUGAGUUGUGUAAAGCUCCCGAUGCCAGACUUCCUCUUAAUUUUGCACAUUAUUAAAGUCCAAAGAGUUAAGAUUUGGUGAUGAGGGGCAAAGGGCCAGCUGUCACAGAAAUCAAUGAAAUGAUACACAGAAAUGGGUAUCAUGAAAAGGCCACUGGACUUGGGAAAACUGGGUGCCUGUCCUUGCCCUGCCAUGUACUUACCUGUGUGACUGGAGGUGAGAUGUUUUACCUAUGGGCCUCAGUUUCUCAUUACAAAAUGACAGAGAAGACUAGAUACCUAAGUUCCUAAGUUUGUGACAUUUGUGAAUUUUUCUUGGCCCUCUGUGAGUAGAGUGCUAAAUUUAGAGGCUUCCUGUGGUUGAACUGAUGUCCAAUUCUCAGGGAACCCAGACUUCUCAGUUCAGAACCCAGUUCCAGAUUUUUGUGGGAAUAGGGAAAGGUAUUAAAUAACUCCAUUGAAUUCUUUCCUGCAUAAUGCCCUGCUGUGGCUGAGACUCAAUGAGGUCAUCACCUCCAACACACAGAACCCCUCAUCAUCUCCUUACAGCCAGACUGGAGCUUCCAAGGACAUCAGGUUGGCAAGGAUUGUGAGUACCCUAAACAUCUAAAGAGGCCCUCUAAUAAGGGACAUAUUUGUUCUUCAACAGUUUCCUAACUUGAGACCACAAAUGCGUAAUCUCUCUAAUAUCCUAAAGCUUGGACAAACUGGGCAGCCCCUGAGCAGACCGCACAGAGCUUAAAUGUCAGUGCUUUCCUUCCAGAAAGAAAAAGAAUGGUCCUACACCUCCCAAUCCAUGGGCUGAUACAUAUGCCAAGGGAGCCGGAUGAAGAAGUGGGUGAUUUUAAAUAGCUAAGACUGCCCAUGGGCAAACGUUCUUUGGCUUUUCUCCUCUGCAAUAAGUAUACCUUCCUCUCUCCUGGUCCUUUUCUCCUUUCCCAGGCCCCUCUAUCAAUAAUAAUUCUGGCUCUCAGAUGACUACAGUUGAUUAGGUGGAACUGAUAGGAUAAAGGUGACACCCUUCCCAAGGCUAUCUAUAAUGCAAAAAGAUAUCCAAGAAAAAGAGAGGUAGGGAACACCUUGGGAAACCAUUUCUGGAAGACAGCCAGUCCCUGCUGUAGACAAGCCUCAUUUUCCUUCCCCCAAAUGUUAAAGAGUAAAUUCCUCCUGUAGCCUUAGCUCUCUUUUCUAUCUUUGGCUUGCUUUUUAUGAACUAUCUUUAGAGUGCCAAAUUAGAACAGGGUAGGCAGAGGCAGGAAUAUGCCCAAAUUUGGGAAGACCUGGUUGGGAAUAGUCGAAAGCCUUGAUAUGUGCAAAGAAAGAACCAUUUGAUCAACCCAGUUCUUAAUACAGGAUACUAACUUAAAAUUUAGACUCAAGUUAUACGAUAAUUCAAACAUUUAUUGUAUUUAUACUAUUCUAUAUGUACUUUUCCAGGAACCAGGAAUACAAAACUGACAUUUCUCUGUACAGAGGCUCAGACUAGUAGAGAACAGUUAGGUACGCCGUUAAUUAUAAACUAAUAUGUAUCAUCAAUUAUGGGUUUUUAUGGGGGUUUGGCAGGUGGAAGGGACCAGGGAGAGAUGAUGAGUGAUGAUGGUUAUGUAGUCUUUAGGAGGAUGCAAUUAUAACAUUGCUCUUCCUUUCACGCACCACAUGAUUUAGCAAGUACUUCAUAUUGGCUCCACCAUUAACAUGGUCAAUGGCUUCUGGAUACUCACAGUUCAGGCACAGUUUCUCCUGAAGAUUUUUUACCUCUCCCAUCUUUAAGAAAUUGUCUGGAUGUCCAUGAAAGAUGCUGACACUUGUAUUAAUUCAUUAAAAAACACCACCCCCUCCCUGAAAUAAACUAAAAAGUAAUGAAUUCAUAGAAAAAAAUUUCACCAAGAUUGAAACUAGAGAAUAUACCUAGACUUGCACUUUGAGCUUUGAGAAAUGUGUACCUAUUCACCAUUCCAACGUGAAGAAGCUCUGCAGUAGGAAAAAUAAUUAACACACUUAUAGUCUACUGCCCAUGUAAGGAUCAGCUCCGGCUAAGAGGCCAAAGAUGGGUGACAUCGUUAUGCUCUGCCUUUAUUUUUUCUUUCUUACCCACUUAGCUUCCUAAUUGGAGGAAGGAGGCGUGGUAAAGGUAUAUGAAGACUAUGGUUUAAUUAGACCAGAAAACACUGUCAUAAUCUCUGGGGUCAUCAGAAUGUCCAGUUUUGUCUUUGGGCCAAGAUAAGGGCAGUGGGAUUUAUGAUGUGUUGUUUAUAGUCUGAAACUACUCUGGUGAUCACCAGGGUCAGUUUCUUUAAUGAUGGUUUCCAACUGGCCUAAUACAUUAAGUAAGACUGGCUGAUAACAUGACCAGACAGACAUAAAGACCCUGUUGGGAAUGACAUUGAACUCUCAAAGUCAAGAUUUCUUACACAAAUCUAUCAGCUGGAGAAAAUGAAGGCAGUGUGGUAUAUGUGUGCAAAUAAGGACAUUAUGAAGCUUAAAUAUGGAAUGUCUCUUGGACCCCCGAUGUCAUCUGUAUUCUCUUUUUCUUCUUGUACUAUAUCCUUUGCCUGUAAAUAAAAGGUUUAUUUGAUUA
rnacentral:lncRNA from 1 species